AAGAUUGGAGGAAUUUGGAAGAAUUAGAAAUUGUGUCCCGGUUUGGUUACAGCAGAACCGUAGAAAAAUAUAUUCGAUGGCUGCAAAAUACAGAAAUAGAGGAAAUAACGAUUGUCGUUCACACACACAGCUCACGUGCUGCGCAUACAGAGUCGAGAACAGGAAUGGAGAUCAUUCUCAAAUUCAGCUUUCUCUGGACACAUGUACAGUAGAAACCGUUUCUUGAGGCUAGCAACUGGCAUUCUCAGCUAUGAAAUAUUAUCAGGUGAGACUUGACAGAGUAACUAUGGCUAUUGGGCUAUUAAGGUUUGAGGUAAGGUGAUCCUCGUGGAUGAAAGAAGAGAAAAUAAUUAAGGCAAAGGAAAGAGAGAGAGAAUAUAAAAUAGGGAGUAUGUGGAAAUAUCAUAGUCUGUGCUCUGACAUCCUACAGAAAAAUUGACAGACAGUUCUACGGGAACACUGUAUUUCUCCCAUGUAAUUUAUGAUUGUUAGAUGGAACGUGAAACUCACAGACACGUUCAAUUUUUUCAGCUAUUAUAUUGAAAGGUGGUAUUGAUUUUACUGGCUAUUUAACUGGCUCUCGCUCUGCAUUACUGACUUGCUAACAGGUUAAAUUACCAGCUGUUCAUCUAUCAGCCUCUUGGAUUAAGAGACAGACCUACAGAACAGUUGAUGAAUAACAUGACUAAAUUAGUGACUAAAAGCACUUUUGAGCGCCGUCCUGACUGAUUGACUGACUGUCUGUUUGAUCUAGUGACUGUAUUGUAUUUCCUCAGAUGGUUAAACUGACAGUUUGUCUGAGUUGCACCGACUGACUGACUGAGGUGUUUUGACGUAGUGUCAGACUUUCUGCUCGGUCAACAGACAAACAAACUGUUUUGCUGAGGUACGCUGUAAACUGAUUGGUUAAAUGGCAGAAACACUUUAAAACUAACUGGCUGACUGACUGACUGGCUCACUGUGUGACUGGCUUACUGACUGAUUUAAUGACUGACUGACUGACUGGUCUGUUGUCUCAGUGGCUGGGCGUUCGGACCAUGGAUCCACAAAUGUACCCGCUAGGUGACGCUAGGAGGUACUAGGGCGACGCUAUGCACUAAAGUUAUGGACAUUAUCCGUGAAUUGAAAUAAGCUCGGAGCAGUAGUUUGGGAAUCAGUGCCGCUAUUUCAUUUCGAUUUCCAAGUGCAGUGAAUUUGAGCUUUGAGACUUACAAUACUUCCUCGCCCUGCUAUAGUAUAGUGCGUUGAAACAUUGAGGGGCACAGAUCGUAAGAAACUCGUGUGUGCUGAUGUCUUUCAGGUAAAUAGGGGAUUGCUUGAAGAAACUAACUGUACCUCAUUGUAAUUUGUGUAAGGGUGAAUUGAAAGUCGCAUGCUGAUCUCCUUAUCAUUCAUCAAUAGAUUUUGGAAGGAGCGGAGGGAAAGGAAAUGGGCUCAAGAUCACUUUAGCUCUUAAGUAGGCGUCUAAAGAAAAUGAGGAGGGCCGACUUUUACGUGAAGGUGUCGGCGACUCCUAAGGAGAUGCAUUCAUAAUUUGCCGUCGGGGUUCCUGCUUAGCUGUUACUCUGCCGAUUAUAUUUUUUUGUUUUACCACGUUAUCAUCGGCAUAGCCGUCCUGGUUUACAUAGCUUCCUAUUUUAUGGUGCAGGUGAAGGAUGUAUAAUUGUAGUCUAGAUGUUGAUUUGUUUUUCUGUGGUUGCCGCUAUUGUAAAAUAAUUGUUCUUAUUUAGCUAUUUUAAGACGAUAACGCAAAGAUCUCAAGUUUAAAAGGGCGCUCAAGGGAGAAGAGAAUGUUUCCUUCAGAUUCUAAGAGAAGGGAAGGAGAAAAGGAAAGGUCCAAGAAAGUACCGGCGUGGAAAGGAAGGGGAAGUUUGUUAACAUUCCAAACUAUCAAACUACAGUAGAUUUAAAGUGGUUUCAAUUUGAAAAUUUUUAUUGAUCUAUUGUGAGUUAGUUGUAUGUUGCAGAGUAAAGCUAUAUUAAAGAAGACUUCUGCCUUCUCCAAA